rnacentral:lncRNA from 1 species
GUGAAUCCUGGAGUGAUGCUGCACAUGAAAUCCACACUGAAAGCAGGCUCUUCCCAAGAUGGGCUGUCCUCCGUCCUGCUAAUGUGUGACCAUCUGCUGGGGCCUCCGACUGUCAGAACCAGAAGUCCUGCUUCUUGCUUCCUGCCCCCAUCUCUGGGCUCCUUUGUGUCUUCUUGAUCAUUGUCAGCCACUUUGGGAUGACCUCCCAGUCCAACCUCCGUGAACCCUGC